rnacentral:rRNA from 1 species
CCCGCACAAGGCGGUGGAGCAUUGUGGUUUAAUUCGAAGCAACGCGAAGUAACCUUACCAGGUCUUGACAUCCCGAUGCUAUUUCUAGAGAUAGAAAGUUACUUCGGUACAUCGGUGACAGGUGGUGCAUGGUUGUCGUCAGCUCGUGUCGUGAGAUGUUGGGUUAAGUCCCGCAACGAGCGCAACCCCUAUUGUUAGUUGCCAUCAUUCAGUUGGGCACUCUAGCGAGACUGCCGGUAAUAAACCGGAGGAAGGUGGGGAUGACGUCAAAUCAUCAUGCCCCUUAUGACCUGGGCUACACACGUGCUACAAUGGUUGGUACAACGAGUUGCGAGUCGGUGACGGCGAGCUAAUCUCUUAAAGCCAAUCUCAGUUCGGAUUGUAGGCUGCAACUCGCCUACAUGAAGUCGGAAUCGCUAGUAAUCGCGGAUCAGCACGCCGCGGUGAAUACGUUCCCGGGCCUU